UACGGAGGAUGCAAGCGUUAUCCGGAAUGAUUGGGCGUAAAGCGUCCGCAGGUGGCAAUGUAAGUCUGCUGUCAAAGCGUCUGGCUCAACCAGAUAAAGGCAGUGGAAACUACAUAGCUAGAGUACGGUCGGGGUAGAAGGAAUUCCUGGUGUAGCGGUGAAAUGUGUAGAGAUCAGGAAGAACACCGGUGGCGAAAGCGGCCCACUGGUCCGGUACUGACGCUGAGGUGCGAAAGCGUGGGGAGCAAACAGG
rnacentral:rRNA from 1 species